GAGUUCCUGUACGGUCACCGAAGUUAAGCAACGUUGAUCCUGGUCAGUACUUAGACGGGCAACCGCUUGGGAAUUCCAGGUGCUGUCAG